GCUGGGCAUGGUGGCGCGUACCUGUAAUCCCAGCUACUUGGGAAGCUGAGGCAGGAGAAUCGCUUGAACCAGGGAGGUGGAGGUUGCAGUGAGCCGAGAUCACGCCACUGCACUCCAGCCUGGUGACAGAGCGAGACUCUGUUUCAA
rnacentral:SRP_RNA from 1 species